rnacentral:rRNA from 1 species
GUGCACCAGGCGCGAAACCUCCUCAAUGCACUCACGUGCGAAGGGGUUACCUCGAGUGCCGCCUGAAGAAGGCGGCUUUUCCAUGGUCUAAAAAGCCUAGGGAAUAAGAGGGGGGCAAGACUGGUGUCAGCCGCCGCGGUAACACCAGCCCCUCGAGUGGUGGGGAUGAUUAUUUGGCCUAAAAGCGUCCGUAGCCGGCCGGGUAAGUCUCCCGUUAAAUCCAGCGUCUCAAGCGUUGGACUGCGGGAGAUACUGUCUGGCUAGAGAGUGGGAGAGGUGUACGGUAUUCUGGGGUAGGGCGAAACCUUUGAUCCCCGGAGGACCACCAGUGGCGAAGGCUGUACACUAGAACACGUCUGACGGUCAGGGACGAAAAGCUGGGGUAGCGAAACCGGAUU